GGCCUCGCGGGUUCCACGCUAGCCAGCAGAAAUAAUCCAAAAGACGCGCUAUAUUGAUCAGCCUCCAAACUUGGCAUCGGUGAUGAGCUGCAACGCAAGGUGCAGGGGACUCAUUCAUUCUGACACCGAGACAGGAGUCAGGCCUAGGACCCCAGAACAUUGCCCUGGGUGCGGUUCCCCCGGCUGAGUGGUUACUACUUCAAACAGUCCAAGAACUCCUGGCCAAGACCUCUGGCCCGCCCCCAAAUGGUAGCUAUGACAUCACCAGCAACCAAUCAACGCAUUCUCUCGCUCCUGGGUUUCUUUGCUUCGGGGAGGUUUGGCUCACUCGGGUUGCACUGGACGAGGCUGCUGUGAUCUGACCCAUGGGUAUCAGCUGUAGUGUUUGGGGUCGUUAAGUCUUAAGACUCAAGUCAGAGUUCCGUGACAGAUACACCAUUUGUGCGUGUAGGUGGACUAUGUACAGCGGCACUAAAGAAAGUACUCCGUAGGAUUGUAGUUCCUGACUAGAGAAGAGAGGAGCGGGACCUGGUUUUGAAGCGCCCGCCGCUCUGUGGGUCCACAGACUAGCUAGUGGAAAGCGCAAAUCUCAGGUUGAACAAGGAGGAAACCAGCUGGAAUCACAGAGGAGACCCCUGAAUGACCUUAGGGAUCUGGACUUCCGGGCUGGUGACUGGCCUCCACCUUUGACGUCUCCGUGGCGUCUACUAGAGACGACAUUCGAGGCGGCUGCGGGCGUGAGACUGUCUCCCACUUUUCCCCCGUUUGUGGCUGCUGUUGGUAAGCCGUUCCCUCACCUUGUUUUCUCACAUAUCCUCACUUCUGUGUCCAACCCACAGUAGUCGCUCCCAAUGCACUUCCUGGAAAGAGAAAAAUGAGGAGCCUAAAGGAGGUUCAGCUGGUGAAGGUGCUUGGUGUCCAAGCUUGAACGCCCGAGUUUGAUCCCUGGAUCCCAUGUAAGAGUGGAAGACCGACCCCACAAAGUUGUCCUCUGACAACCAUCCACACUUUCAAAUGAAAUGCUGUUGGUUCCUCCCUCUGCUUCCAAGACCAGCUUUGUCCCUACCUCCUAGGAACAAGUAAGACCUCCAGGUGGCCUUCUCAAUAGUUCCA
rnacentral:lncRNA from 1 species